rnacentral:rRNA from 1 species
UAGCGGUGAAAUGCGUAGAGAUCUGGAGGAACAUCAGUGGCGAAGUCGUCCUCUUGGUCCAAUACUGACGCUGAGGCACGAAAGCGUGAGGAGCAAACAGGAUUAGAUACCAUGGUAGUGCACGGCCUAAACGAUGAAUGCGAGAUGUUUGGUCCCUAGCGUACUGAGUGUGGUAGCUAACGCGAUAAGUAUUCCGGAUGGGAAGUACGGCCGCAAGGUUAAAACUCAAAGGAAUUGACGGGGGCACGCCCAAGCGGUGGAGCAUGUGGUUUAAUUCGACGCAACGCGAGGACCCUUACCUGGGCUUGACAUGUGGUCAGUAGCGAACCGAAAGGGGAGCGACCCGUCAAAUCGGGCAAUCACACAGAUGCUGCAUGGCUGUAGUCAGCUCGUGCCGUGAGGUGUUGGGCUCACUUCCGCAACGAGCGCAACCCUCGCCCUUUGUUCCCAUCGGGUAAAGCCGGGCACUCUAAGGGGACUGCCAGUGACAAGUAGGAGGAAGGAGAGGAUGACGUCAAGUCAUCAUGGCCCUUACGCCUAGGUCCACACACGUGCAACAAUGGCCGGUACACACCGAGGCAAUCCAGAGAGUAGGAGCAAGGUCGAGAAAACCGGUCCCAGUUCGGACCGAGGUAUGCCACUACAGAUCAAGAAGUCGGAAUCCGCAGUAAUUGCAUACAAGGACGACGCGGAGAACACGCUCCCGG